rnacentral:tRNA from 1 species
GGGCCUAUAGCUCAGUCUGGUAGAGCGCGAGACUCUUAAUCUUGAGGUCGGGGGUUCGAAUCCCUCUGGGCCCA